CCUACGGGAGGCAGCAGUGAGGAAUAUUGGUCAAUGGACGAGAGUCUGAACCAGCCAAGUAGCGUGAAGGAUGACUGCCCUAUGGGUUGUAAACUUCUUUUAUAAAGGAAUAAAACGAGGCACGUGUGCCUUUUUGCAUGUACUUUAUGAAUAAGGAACGGCUAACUCCGUGCCAGCAGCCGCGGUAAUACGGAGGAUCCGAGCGUUAUCCGGAUUUAUUGGGUUUAAAGGGAGCGUAGAUGGGUUGUUAAGUCAGUUGUGAAAGUUUGCGGCUCAACCGUAAAAUUGCAAUUGAUACUGGCAGUCUAGAGUACAGUUGAGGUAGGCGGAAUUCGUGGUGUAGCGGUGAAAUGCUUAGAUAUCACGAAGAACCCCGAUUGCGAAGGCAGCUUACUAAACUGUGACUGACAUUGAUGCUCGAAAGUGUGGGUAUCAAACAGGAUUAGAUACCCGGGUAGUC
rnacentral:rRNA from 1 species